AAAGAGAUACGUUUUUAGUCUAGAUUUAAACUGACAGAGUGUGUCUGCUUCCCGAACAAUGCUAGGAAGAUUGUUCCAGAGUUUAGGUGCCAAAUAGGAGAAGGAUCUACCACCUGCAGUUGAUUUUGAUAUUCUAGGUAUUAUCAGCUGGCCUGAAUUCUGAGAUCGCAAUAGACGUGAAGGACUAUAAUGAAUUAGGAGCUCGCUCAGGUACUGGGGAGCUAAACCAUUUAGUGCUUUGUAAGUAAUUAGCAAGAUUUUAAAAUCUAUACGAUGUUUAACAGGAAGCCAAUGCAGUGUUGACAGAACUGGGCUAAUAUGGUCAUACUUCCUAGUUCUAGUAAGAACUCUAGCUGCUGCAUUUUGUACGAGCUGUAGUUUAUUUAUCAGGCGAGCAGAACAACCACCCAGUAGAGCAUUACAGUAAUCUAGCCUUGAGGUCAUGAACGCAUGAACUAACUGUUCUGCAUUUUUCAUUGAGAGCAUAUGUCGUAGUUUAGAUAUAUUUUUAAGAUGGAAGAAUGCGGUUUUACAGAUGCUAGUAACAUGGCCUUCAAAUGAAAGAUUGGUAUCAAAGAGCACACCCAGGUUCCUAACUGACGACGAAGACUUAACAGAGCAGCCAUCAAGUGUUAGACAAUAUUCUAGGUUAUUACGUGAAGAAGUUUUUGGUCCAAAAAUUAGAAUCUCUGUUUUUUCUGAAUUUAGUAGUAGGAAAUUACUGGUCAUCCAAUUUUUUAUAUCAGCUAUGCAUUCCGUUAAUUUUGUGAAUUGGUAAGUUUCGUCAGGGCGCGAAGAAAUAUAGAGCUGAAUAUCAUCAGCGUAACAGUGAAAACGAACGCCAUGCUUCCUAAUGAUAUCUCCCAAGGGUAGCAUGUACAGAGUGAACAGUAACGGUCCUAGUACUGAGCCUUGUGGCACUCCAUAUUGAACUUGUGAUCGAUAUGACAUGUCUUCGUUUACUACUACAAACUGAUAACGGUCAGAUAAGUAUGAUUUGAACCAUGACAAUGCAAUUCCAGUAAUGCCAACAUAAUUUUCGAGUCUAUUUAAAAGAAUAUUGUGAUCAAUAGUGUCAAAUGCUGCACUAAGAUCCAGUAACACUAAUAGAGAGAUACAACCACGAUCUGAUGAUAAGAGCAAAUCAUUUGUAACUCUAAUGAGAGCAGUCUCAGUACUAUGGUACGGUCUAAAUCCUGACUGGAAAUCCUCACAGAUACCAUUUCUUUCUAAAAAGGAACAUAGCUGUGAUGAUACUGCCUUUUCUAGUAUUUUUGACAGAAAAGUGAGAUUUGAGAUCGGCCUGUAAUUGACUAAUUCUCUAGGAUCAAGUUGUGGUUUUUUAAUAAGAGGUUUAAUAAUAGCCAGCUUAAAAGUUUUCGGUACGUAUCCUAGUGAUAAAGAUGAAUUGACGAUAUUAAGAAGAGGAUCUAUAACCUCUGGAAGCAUUUCUUUCAAUAGCUUAGUCGGUAUAG